UUGCUGAUAUAGGCUUCAGAUGGGUCUAUCAUAGCAAUAUGAGUACUUACAGGCAAAGAUAGGGAACGUAAGCCAGAUGGAGCAUUAAAUUUAAUGUUGUCACCAUGUGUUGAUAGCUCACUUGCGAUGCCAUCUUGAAGAGAUAAGGUUUUACUUGAAGACGGAAAUGUAGCAUGUUUGUGAAGGCACUUUUCAGGGGUUUGAAUCGUUGUUUUGUUCAAAAGAAACUCAUCACACGAAUCCUUUUCCUCAAACUCAGAAUUUUUAUGGGAUGUUGAGGAGGUCAAAUCAUCUUCUUUAGUAUCUUGAAUGUUAAGAAGCUCGGUCACAUCAGCACUGAGUUCAUCUACGGAACGAGCUUUUAGAACUCCAAGAGUAGAUUCAAAUGUAUUCGUAC
rnacentral:lncRNA from 1 species